CACAAGGGCAAGAUGGUUAUGUGUGUGGCUCUGUGAUAUAUUGCUACUGCUGGGCAUAUUAGAGGAGCUUGCUAGCAUUGCGUGAAUGAAUCACAUGGCACAAUUUACCAAGGAAGACAAAGUUAGUACUAUGAACCUAAUUAUAAUCACAUGACAUGCUUACUUGGCAAAUUUAUAGUUUGGUCUCUGAGGAACAGACGUCUUGCAAUACUUCUCCUAUACCAGGCUCUUGAAAAUGCCAGAAUUUCACUGAGUCGGCACAUAUCAUAUUUAAAGGAGGCAGACCCAAUAUCACAAACAGCUGAUACAGAAAUCAAUGUAGUGUGCAUUUUGCUUGCAGACUUGCUUACAGACUGACUUUCAAAAAAUGAAGCACCUCCUGAACGCCUUAUCUGAGACAAAUUCACUUUUUACAAAUUCAAGGUUUAUACUGAGAGAGUGUUUUCAACCAGUCAUUCAAGUGGGUUCCUCAUCCACAUUCCCUAAAACAACAAUAAAACCCUCAUCAAUAAUGUAUACAUAUAGAGGUACACAUAUACACAACUGUCUAGUUAGAUGAAAAUUACCCAAUAUACUACAGUAUCCCAUCA
rnacentral:lncRNA from 1 species